UUUCCCCAUGUGCACACUAUUUUAUACUGCAUUCUCUGGAGGCUUUUCAGUGGUGUGUGUGUGUGUGUGUGUGUGUGUGUGUGUGUGUGUGUGUGUGUGUGUGUGUGUGUGUGUGUGUGUGUGUGUGUGUGUGUGUGUGUGUGUGUGUGUGUGUGUGUAGACUCUGUGUAGUGACGGAGUGUAAGUUUAACUCAUCACACUGACACAUUCAGGCAGGAAGUCUGCAGCCUCACAGAGCUGUCGGAAACAUCUACCACACCUGAACUCCUUCUGUUUAACUAUUCAUUCUUAAUUUGCUGCUGCUUGUGUAUUUGUUCUGUUUGAUCCAGUGCAAUUUAAUCACAUUCAAUCUGUGUUUCCGGGCCCCGAACGCCGCCUGAGAGGGCCGAGGUUUCAGAUCAGUGCAACAUGCCAAGCUUCAGACGCCUCGCUAUGAUUGUUUUUGUUGAGUCUGAAGUCAUCUGUGACUGAGGUAUUUUGAAACCCUGCACAUGGCUCAGCGGUGUUUGUGCAGCAGGUAACAAUCCCUCCUUUAAGGCCCGUGUGGUCCAGUUGGAUAUUUGAACAGGUGUGUGAAUUUUAAGAGGGAAGUACGAAUAGUUGUGUGGUUGAAUAGACCACUCAGACCUCCUCCCAAUGGAGCAGGCAUUUUUGGAAAUCAGUGUUAGCACAUUUUUCAUGUCUUGACUGAAAAACAACUUUUUUUUCUUUUAAAAUAACAAGAUGCAUGAAUGUGAACUAUCGAGUAGAACACAAUAGGACGUCUUACACACACGAGAGUUUAAACGGUGUUUAGUUUGUUUUAAAGUUGUUGAACCUCACACAUUAUUACAACACGAUUUAAGUAACUGCUAGCGGUGUUUGUGGCUCAGCACUCGUCACAGAGACCAGACAGAUGGACAGCAAGUAACUGUUUAAUCUCCAUCUUUAACUGGAAACAUAAACACUGCAGGUUUAAUCAUCAGCUUUAGCUCAGCGCUGUGUGUCUGUUACACAUUACAUUAAAUAAGAACAUAAACACUUCUUACUGAGGUUUUGUUACUUGACAUCUACACAAGAUGACACUUCUAACUCUUCACAGGAAACUCAGAUCACGACGAGAAUAACCUGCUACUUUAUUUGAGAAUGAUGUAAUACUGGUUUAAAGAUAUAUGUCUAUUAUAAGCAUCUGGAGGAGCGAGUGCAGUGGAAAAAUAAAGGGAAACAAUCACUAACAUAAUAUUCUUACUCGUACCUCUAUUUCCAUCAGAGGUCUCACUACAGUGUAAACAACAGAACUUAUUCGAUCUGAACACACUGUUCCAUGAUGGAGGCGAGAUGUUUCAAGGCUUUAACCACUUCUCUAACCACUACUGCAACGAUCAUCUCGUGUGUUUCCAUCCGAGUGCAGCAGAAGCAAUCAAACUCCAACAUUCACCUCCAACGCCACACAGGAAGCUACUGCAGUUCUGAUCCGACACAUCUGUGUACACAUCUCCCAGAACAAAUCUGCACAUGCAGAAAGAAGAGGAACCGAGAGGAAGAUCCCGAAAUCAGGGCCACUCCCUCUGUCCUGCCUCUAGGGAGGGGAUUCGUCGGAUCUGAGACAUAUGCGGGAAGUGGAGGCGCUGUGCGAGAAACACAAAGGUUGCCUUUCAGCUCCAACAGGAUCUGAAACCAAACCCCACCGCCCACCCGCCUGCCUCGGCCUCCUCCACCUUCCUGUCCCCUCCAUCUGUAAACCCACUUCCUCUCAAAAAAAAUAAAAAACGAAUGAUUUGGAACAGUAA